UUGAUACUAACUGCUGGCCAUUUGAUUUUUGAGCUACGUUGUUCUAAAACGGUUCACACAUUUUCAAUUUUUCUUGUUAAUUCAUUAUUAUUCGUAUUUUUCAAAGUUCUCUGUCGACAUUUUCAAUUUUUCAUAUCAAUUCAUUAUUAUUCAUACUUCAAACUUCUUAAAGUCCUUUAUUCACAUUUUCAAUUUUUCUUAUUAAUUCAUUAUUAUUCGUACUUUUCAAAAUUCUCUGUCGACAUUUUCAAUUUUUCAUAUCAAUUCGUUAUUAUUUGUACUUCAUACUUUUCAAAAUCUUCUGUCCACAUUUUCAAUUUUUCUUAUCAAUUCGUUAUUGUUCAUACUUUUCAAAGUCCUUUGUCCAUUUCUAAUUGCGUGUAUAAUCCUUUGUCCAUUUCUAAUUGCGUGUAUAAAAUACUAACCGGUCCAAUUUGGAGCUUAGGUCUUUCGUGCCAAUUUCAAAGAAAUUAAGAAUGACUGAAAGUGAAAGUUUUUUUAUUUGUUUAUUUAUUUAUUUUUGGUAAGGUUACUCAAAUGUAGGAUUUAUAAAUAUUCGAUGAUCAUAACAAUAAUAAUAAUAAUAAUUUAAUUUUUAAGCUAAAGUCAAUCCAAGAACCUUUGAUUCUGGAGUGCAUAUUUUGCUUGCUCUCCAAUUAAUUAGUUUUUAUUUUAUCAAUUUAUUUUUUAUAUUUUAUGGUUUUAAAUGAAUAUGAUAUGGUUUUUAGAUAAUUUUUUUUUUAUUUUCUUGCUGCCAAAUUAGUUAAUGCUAAUUUUACAUAUUUAUUAUUUAUAAUUGUGGCUCUCAAAUGCAUGAUCUGAUCAAAGACUAAUUAAAACCCAAUUACAUAAUUAAUUUUAAAACACAUUUUAGGAUGACCUGACAUUUCUUCUUCUUUUUUUUUUUUUAAUGAAAUUGGAUGGCUUGACUUGCUUUUGAUUAAUUAAACAUAUUUACAUAACUUAUUUUUCAAAAACAAGACAUAUAUUUUUAGACCCUUUUUUUCUUUUUUUUGGCCUAUAUAUAUAAAUGGGCAAACAGAACGAGAGAAAUCAUAUUUAAGACUGUUUUUGCAGGAGAAGCCAUGGGUAUCUUUAAUGUUCUUCGUUAUCUAAUGCUAAUUCUCCUCCUCUUCAGUACUUUCAGCCAUCAUUUGGUUUAUGCAGAUUUAAGGGCAAGGAAACUCGGAGAUCGGCCACCGAUAAGUCCACCUCCACCUCCAGACGAUGCCGUUGCGCCGCAUACUGAUUAAUUCUAGAGUCAUAAUUUAUUUACUAUUAUUUUUUUAGCAAUGAUAUAUUAAAAUGUCAAUGGUUAAAAAAUAUAUAUAUUAAAGGAUCUACAACAUAAACGGUGGGAUCCAAUUUAAAUUAAAUCACAGUUUAUCAUAUAUAAAUUGUUUUUAUAGAUAUUUAACAAAUAAGUUGAAAACUCUAGUAUUACUCUUCUGUCAUAAUGUCACUAAAUAUAAUUGGUAUGGCAUACAUGGGAGAAUUUGUGACAAUUCUACAAGCCAGUGGUUAUAGAUUGUCUGAUGAAAACCAUCUAUUUUUGUUUGUAAUAAUUUCAAUAGUACUUCUUGAUUAUGCAAUAAAAAGCACCCUUAAAUUUAUCUCC